rnacentral:rRNA from 1 species
AUUGAACGCUGGCGGCAGGCCUAACACAUGCAAGUCGAGCGAGCGGCGGACGGGUGAGUAAUGGCUGGGAAACUGCCUGAUGGAGGGGGAUAACUACUGGAAACGGUAGCUAAUACCGCAUACCAUCAGAUGUGCACAGAUGGGAUUAGCUAGUAUGUGGGGUAAAGGCUCACCUAGGCGACGAUCCAUAGCUGGUCUGCGAGGAUGACCAGCCACACUGAGACUGAGACCCGCUCCAGACUCCGACGGGAGGCAGCAGUGGGGAAUAUUGCACAAUGGGGUCAAGCCGGAUGCAGCCAUGACGCGUGUGGGAAGAAGGCCUUCGGGGUUUAAAGCACUUUCAGCGGGGAGGCGUUACCCGCAGAAGAAGCACCGGCUAACUCCGUGCCAGCAGCCGCGGUAAUAC